AUGGAGCGGAGGGAUGCGCUCCGUUACACUUGACUUAUGUGAAAAUGCAACAAUUGCGUUUUUAACACAAUGAUCUUAUCGCAGAACACGUUGUAACGUGCCCAUUGCUCUUAAUAUCAUAUUUCAUACCAUUUUAACCUAUGUGAAAUUGCAAAUUUGUAAUAUUAACACGUGUCCGAUCUCAUCGCGAAAAACAUCAAUUGUUCUUAAAAAAUAUAUAUUUCGUACCAUUGACCUAUGUGGAUUUGCAAAUUUGCAAUUUUAAUACGUGAGGUGAUCUCAUUGUGACAUGAUAAAGAUAUACGCGAAAUUCAUUGCAGCAGCCAUAUAUUGGUGCUAAUAUUAUUGCAAAUGUUGCAGUGUCUACAGUUACAUCAUAUAUCGAAUGAUGUACGUGUCUAAAGUAGAUUUAUUCUGUAUAAUUUCAUCGCAGCUGCCAUUCGUCGGCGCUUAUGCAAAAAUGCAAAAUUGCAAUUUUAAUGAGAGUUAUAUUUCACAUCUCGCGUAGUAGGAAAAAGAAUAGAAGGGUAUACAAAUUAAAAAGAACUUCAACAAUCAAUUAUUGCAUUAAUCGUUCUGUGAAAGACAAAUAGUCUAUAUCUCUGUAAAAAGAAACAGCUCUUGAAAAAAUGUACAAGGGAAGCUCUGUGAAUUAUUACACUUCGAUUCAACAGAAUGAGGCGUAUAAAAAACAUAUAUCUUCUCAUAAUUCAUCAUCUUCGGAACCUUGUACAUCUCGGGAAGAAGAUUUGCUUUAACAUCCACACACAGCUUAUAAAUAUUUGGAUAUUGGAAUCAACCUUUUGGGACCUGUAUCCUAUGUGGAAUUAUUGGUGAUAAUCGAGGCAAUCAAAUAUUAUUGCCUUAUGUAAUGUGGAAAACUCUCAUCGAAAAAUCGUGGAUAUCGAGCAACUUGUGAAAUCAAUUGCUCCUUCAUCAUUGUCGAUUCAUAAUCUAAUUAUAGAACUUGUUCAAAUGCGAAAUACAAAUAUUGUAAAGUUUACAUUGCGCGAUACAUGCUUGUACAGCCGUCAACCGUAUUCUUUCUAUUUGAAUUUGAACAUUGCGUCGAACAUGUAUAUUACUGGCUCUAUGAGAAUAUAUAUGGUGUCAGCGAAAAA